ensembl:snoRNA
ACAGAUUCACUCUGUAGCCAGCUGUAGCCCCAGGUGGGUGCUUUUUCUGUCUGCCACAAAGACAUCCCCAAGUGUUGUAACCACCUUGACCUGUCAGGGCAGUGCAACCCUCUGGGGACUCAGGG